rnacentral:rRNA from 1 species
AUUGAACGCUGGCGGCAGGCCUAACACAUGCAAGUCGAACGAGUGGCGGACGGGUGAGUAAUGUCUGGGAAACUGCCUGAUGGAGGGGGAUAACUACUGGAAACGGUAGCUAAUACCGCAUACCAUCGGAUGUGCCCAGAUGGGAUUAGCUAGUAGGUGGGGUAAAGGCUCACCUAGGCGACGAUCCCUAGCUGGUCUGAGAGGAUGACCAGCCACCUGGGAACGAAGACACGGUCCAGAUUCCUACGGGGGGCAGCGUUGGGGAAUAUUGCACAAUGGGCUCAAGCCUGAUGCACCCAGCCCGCGUGUAGGAAGAAGGCCUUCGGGUGGUAAAGUACUUUCAGCGGGGAGGCGUUACCCGCAGAAGAAGCACGGGCUAACUCCGUGCCAGCAGCCGCGUAAUAC